AGUCGAACGAUGAUCCGGUGCUUGCACCGGGGAUUAGUGGCGAACGGGUGAGUAACACGUGAGUAACCUGCCCUUGACUCUGGGAUAAGCCUGGGAAACUGGGUCUAAUACCGGAUAUGACUCCUCAUCGCAUGGUGGGGGGUGGAAAGCUUUUGUGGUUUUGGAUGGACUCGCGGCCUAUCAGCUUGUUGGUGAGGUAAUGGCUCACCAAGGCGACGACGGGUAGCCGGCCUGAGAGGGUGACCGGCCACACUGGGACUGAGACACGGCCCAGACUCCUACGGGAGGCAGCAGUGGGGAAUAUUGCACAAUGGGCGAAAGCCUGAUGCAGCGACGCCGCGUGAGGGAUGACGGCCUUCGGGUUGUAAACCUCUUUCAGUAGGGAAGAAGCGAAAGUGACGGUACCUGCAGAAGAAGCGCCGGCUAACUACG
rnacentral:rRNA from 1 species